GUCUCAGUAGCUCAAUUGGAUAGAGCAUCCCCCUCCUAAGGGGAAGGUUGGCAGUUCGAACCUGCCCUGGGGCACCA
rnacentral:tRNA from 1 species